CCUACGGGUGGCAGCAGUGAGGAAUAUUGGUCAAUGGGCGCGAGCCUGAACCAGCCAAGUCGCGUGAGGGAAGACGGUCCUGUGGAUUGUAAACCUCUUUUGUCGGGGAGCAAAAGCCGCCACGCGUGGCGUUCCGAGUGUACCCGAAGAAAAAGCAUCGGCUAACUCCGUGCCAGCAGCCGCGGUAAUACGGAGGAUGCGAGCGUUAUCCGGAUUUAUUGGGUUUAAAGGGUGCGCAGGCGGAAGAUGAAGUCAGCGGUAAAAUUGCGAGGCUCAACCUCGUCGCGCCGUUGAAACUGGUUGUCUUGAGUGAGCGAGAAGUAUGCGGAAUGCGUGGUGUAGCGGUGAAAUGCAUAGAUAUCACGCAGAACUCCGAUUGCGAAGGCAGCAUACCGGCGCUCAACUGACGCUCAUGCACGAAAGUGUGGGUAUCGAACAGGAUUAGAUACCCCUGUAGUC
rnacentral:rRNA from 1 species